UCAAUGUAGUUUCUUCUACGCGUG
rnacentral:piRNA from 1 species